AGAAUCAACGCUGGCGGCGUGCCUAACACAUGCAAGUCGAACGAGAAAGUGGAGCAAUCCAUGAGUAAAGUGGCGCACGGGUGAGUAACACGUGACUACCUACCCUUGAGUGGGGGAUAACCUAGGGAACCUGGGCUAAUACCGCAUAACACCUUCGGGUCAAAGGAGCAAUUCGCUUAAGGAGGGGUCGCGGCCGAUUAGUUAGUUGGCGGGGUAAUGGCCCACCAAGACGAUGAUCGGUAU
rnacentral:rRNA from 1 species